AGCAAUCUUAAAGUGAAAACAAAAAAAGGUGUCGCAGCAUCCACGGCCUAAUAAUGCCGACAAUGAAAUUCGCGUUGGGUGAAUUGGCAUAAAUUCAGUGAUAUUGAGACUCUCUAGUUAGGCAAUGCGUUCGUCAAUUGCCCGAAGUACCUUGCAUAUAACCGCGGCUCAUUUAUGCAUAAGUCUACAAGACAGCUAGUACGAGGGUAGCAUGUUGAUUCUCAAAAUAACUUGAUUUCAGUAUUAACUAUUAUUGUCAAACUUCGUCAUUGUCAGUAUUGAGUCUCA